UAAAUAAAUUUAAAAGAGAUCUUAUAAAGAGUUGAGCUAGAAUACUAUCAGUAGUAAACGAGCUGUUUUACUACCUAUUUGUUUUCGAUGAUAGAGCUUCUAAAUUGACGAUCGGCUCCGUUAAAUAUGAUCUAAACCAUUUAAACUACCUAGAAAUUAAAUUUUACGCACUUUCGAUAUUGUUCUUUUAUCCAUCAAGUGAACAGAAAAAUGAAUGGCUGAAAAUGAAUAUUCUUUAAAAAAUGAUGAUAGGAGUCUUAUAAUCAAGAUCAAGAGUAUAGAUCUUGUUUUAAAUAGUUUAAAGAAUUUUCUAACAAAAAUUCAAUUGAUUUGGAUAUCUUUACGCCGUUAAACGAGAAAACGCCUCUUAUCGACCAUUAAAAUUACAAAUUUUGAAACCCUUUGAUCAUUAGGCAAAUAAUGUCGAAAAGAUUUGAAAUUUGAUUUCUAAACACUUCAAGUGGUAUAGAUCAUGUUCAACGGAGCUGAUCGUCAAUUUGGAAGCUCUAUCAUCGAAAAUAAAUAGGUAGUAAAACGGCUCGUUUACUACUGAUAGUAUUCUAACAAAACUCUCUUAUAAAUAUCUUUUACUAACUUCAUAACAAAACAAGAUU
rnacentral:lncRNA from 1 species